rnacentral:rRNA from 1 species
UGGGGAAUAUUGGACAAUGGGCGAAAGCCUGAUCCAGCCAUGCCGCGUGUGUGAAGAAGGUCUUCGGAUUGUAAAGCACUUUAAGUUGGGAGGAAGGGCAGUAAGCGAAUACCUUGCUGUUUUGACGUUACCGACAGAAUAAGCACCGGCUAACUCUGUGCCAGCAGCCGCGGUAAUACAGAGGGGGCAAGCGUUAAUCGGAAUUACUGGGCGUAAAGCGCGCGUAGGUGGUUCGUUAAGUUGAAUGUGAAAGCCCCGGGCGCAACCUGGGAACUGGAUCCAAAACUGGCGAGCUAGAGUAGGGCCGAGGGUGGUGGAAUUUCCUGUGUAGCGGAGAAAUGCGUAGAUAUAGGAAGGAACACCAGUGGCGAAGGCGACCACCUGGGCUCAUACUGACACUGGGGUGCGAAAGCGUGGGGAGCAAACAGG